AUUUGGUUGUAGCUGGCUCAUGAAUUUGGGCAUGUGCACGCCUAUCUCUUUCAUCCACACACACCUGUGCACUUGUGAGGCAGAUGGGGAAUUUAUUGAUUGUUUUUUAAGAACAAUUGGUGCUGGACCCUCUGUCUACUCAAUACAUAAACUCAAUUUAUUUAGAAAUGAAUGUAAUGGAUGUAACGCAUCUAAUACUAAGUUUCAACAACGGAUCUCUUGGCUCUCGCAUCGAUGAAGAACGCAGCGAAAUGCGAUAAGUAAUGUGAAUUGCAGAAUUCAGUGAAUCAUCGAAUCUUUGAACGCACCUUGCGCUCCUUGGUAUUCCUUGGAGCAUGCCUGUUUGAGUAUCAUGAAAUCUUCAAAGUAAAUCUUUUGUUAACUCAAUUGGUUCUACUUUGGUAUUGGAGGUCUUUGCAGCUUCACACCUGCUCCUCUUCGUUCAUUAGCUGGAUCUCAGUGUUAUGCUUGGUUCCACUCAGCGUGAUAAGUUAUCUAUCGCUGAGGACACUGUAACAGGUGGCCAAGGGAAAUGCAGAUGAACCGCUUCUAAUAGUCCAUUGACUUGGACACUAUUUUUAUGAUCUGAUCUCAAAUCAGGUAGGACUACCCGCUGAACUUAAGCAUAUC
rnacentral:rRNA from 1 species